rnacentral:rRNA from 1 species
CCUACGGGAGGCUGCAGUGGGGAAUAUUGGACAAUGGGCGAAAGCCUGAUCCAGCCAUGCCGCGUGUGUGAAGAAGGCCUUCGGGUUGUAAAGCACUUUCAGUGGGGAAGAAAGCCUUGGGGCUAAUACCCUCGAGGAAGGACAUCACCCACAGAAGAAGCACCGACUAACUCCGUGCCAGCAGCCGCGGUAAUACGGAGGGUGCGAGCGUUAAUCGGAAUUACUGGGCGUAAAGCGCGCGUAGGCGGUCUGAUAAGCCGGUUGUGAAAGCCCCGGGCUCAACCUGGGAACGGCAUCCGGAACUGUCAGGCUAGAGUGCAGGAGAGGAAGGUAGAAUUCCCGGUGUAGCGGUGAAAUGCGUAGAGAUCGGGAGGAAUACCAGUGGCGAAGGCGGCCUUCUGGACUGACACUGACGCUGAGGUGCGAAAGCGUGGGUAGCAAACAGGAUUAGAUACCCGAGUAGUC